rnacentral:rRNA from 1 species
GAUGAACGCUGGCGGCGUGCCUAACACAUGCAAGUCGAGCGAUCUUCUUCGGAAGAGAGCGGCGGACGGGUGAGUAACGCGUGGGUAACCUGCCUCAUACACAUGGAUAACAUACCGAAAGGUAUGCUAAUACAAGAUGAUAUAAGAGAUUCGCAUGGAUUUCUUAUCAAAGCUCCGGCGGUAUGAGAUGGACCCGCGUCUGAUUAGCUAGUUGGUAAGGUAACGGCUUACCAAGGCGACGAUCAGUAGCCGACCUGAGAGGGUGAUCGGCCUCAUUGGAACUGAGACACGGUCCAAACUCCUACGGGAGGCAGCAGUGGGGAAUAUUGCACAAUGGGCGAAAGCCUGAUGCAGCAACGCCGCGUGAGCGAUGAAGGCCUUUGGGUCGUAAAGCUCUGUCCUUGGGGAAGAAACAAAUGACGGUACCCAAGGAGGAAGCCCCGGCUAACUACGUGCCAGCCGCCGCGGUAAGAC